GAUGAACGCUGGCGGCGUGCCUAAUACAUGCAAGUCGAGCGAACAGACGAGGAGCUUACUCCUCUGACGUUAGCGGCGGACGGGUGAGUAACACGUGGAUAACCUACCUAUAAGACUGGGAUAACUUCGAGAAACCGGAGCUAAUACCGGAUAACAUGUUGAACCGCAUGGUUCAACAGUGAAAGACGGUCUUGCUGUCACUUAUAGAUGGAUCCGCGUCGCAUUAGCUAGUUGGUAAGGUAACGGCUUACCAAGGCAACGAUGCGUAGCCGACCUGAGAGGGUGAUCGGCCACACUGGAACUGAGACACGGUCCAGACUCCUACGGGAGGCAGCAGUAGGGAAUCUUCCGCAAUGGGCGAAAGCCUGACGGAGCAACGCCGCGUGAGUGAAGAAGGUCUUCGGAUCGUAAAACUCUGUUAUUAGGGAAGAACAAAUGUGUAAGUAACUAUGCACGUCUUGACGGUACCUAAUCAGAAAGCCACGGCUAACUACGUGCCAGCAGCCGCGGUAAUACGUAGGUGGCAAGCGUUAUCCGGAAUUAUUGGGCGUAAAGCGCGCGUAGGCGGUUUUUUAAGUCUGAUGUGAAAGCCCACGGCUCAACCGUGGAGGGUCAUUGGAAACUGGAAAACUUGAGUGCAGAAGAGGAAAGUGGAAUUCCAUGUGUAGCGGUGAAAUGCGCAGAGAUAUGGAGGAACACCAGUGGCGAAGGCGACUUUCUGGUCUGUAACUGACGCUGAUGUGCGAAAGCGUGGGGAUCAAACAGGAUUAGAUACCCUGGUAGUCCACGCCGUAAACGAUGAGUGCUAAGUGUUAGGGGGUUUCCGCCCCUUAGUGCUGCAGCUAACGCAUUAAGCAUUCCGCCUGGGGAGUACGACCGCAAGGUUGAAACUCAAAGGAAUUGACGGGGACCCGCACAAGCGGUGGAGCAUGUGGUUUAAUUCGAAGCAACGCGAAGAACCUUACCAAAUCUUGACAUCCUCUGACCCCUCUAGAGAUAGAGUUUUCCCCUUCGGGGGACAGAGUGACAGGUGGUGCAUGGUUGUCGUCAGCUCGUGUCGUGAGAUGUUGGGUUAAGUCCCGCAACGAGCGCAACCCUUAAGCUUAGUUGCCAUCAUUAAGUUGGGCACUCUAAGUUGACUGCCGGUGACAAACCGGAGGAAGGUGGGGAUGACGUCAAAUCAUCAUGCCCCUUAUGAUUUGGGCUACACACGUGCUACAAUGGACAAUACAAAGGGUAGCGAAACCGCGAGGUCAAGCAAAUCCCAUAAAGUUGUUCUCAGUUCGGAUUGUAGUCUGCAACUCGACUACAUGAAGCUGGAAUCGCUAGUAAUCGUAGAUCAGCAUGCUACGGUGAAUACGUUCCCGGGUCU
rnacentral:rRNA from 1 species